ensembl:lncRNA
AUGUUUCUUUUCGAGAAUCAUUAUUACGGUCUAAAGAACGCCUGCGCUUUCAUAGGAACGAAAUAUUUGUGCAGUCAUUGCUACAACGGUUAUGAUGGGUUGCUGAAUCAUAAAUGCAAGGGGCGUUGUAACGUGUGUCUUGAUGCUGCGUGCGCGGCCACGCGGCCUGCAGCCGGCGGGGGCGUAGUGUGUGAAUACUGCAACCGCUGGUGUGCCUCGGCCUUUUGUCUUGCAAAACACAGGGAGAAGGUGUGGCGCCCCGUGGCUCAGAAGCACGCGAGCAUUUGUGACAUGCACAAGAAAUGUCACCGCUGCGGGCUCUUGUAUUACGUCUCAUUGAUUAAAAUACCAAAGCCGCAUGAAUGUCCGGACGUUAAAUGCUGCAUCUGUGGCGGGGUCAAAUAUGCAGGGAUGACCGAGCCUCACCGGUGCUACAUACAAAGUCUACCGACUCCUGAAACCACCACAGACGUUAUUCCACAUAAGAAGUUGUUGUUCUAUGACUUUGAGACGUAUCCUGAUGAGAAUGGCACGCACGUGCCCUUUUACGUCUGCGUGAUGAGGGGCAAUAAUAGCAGCCCGUGGGGUUGUUACGGGCCCGACUGCGCCGUAAAGCUUCUCAGGCGCUACAGGGCUAAAAAGUACAAAGAUUCCGUGUUUUGGGCUCACAAUUCGAAAGGUUUUGACGGGCAUAUUCUUUUGAGCGCCAUGGUGUCACUGGGGAUUAGCCCUCACGUUGUAAUGCAGGGGUCUAAACUGGUAUUGUUCACAAAGCCUCAUUAUAAUCUCAAAUUUGUAGAUUCCAUGAGCUUUCUACCUUUCCCUUUGGCCUCCCUGCCAAAAGCUCUGGGCUUUGAGGAUGCUGAAAAGGGGCACUUCCCUCACAAGUUCAGCUCUAAGGAGAAUCUGAAUUAUGUCGGCCCAUACCCAGCUCCUGAAUAUUACGGUUGUCAGCAAAUGACUCCAAAGAAACGCGAGGAUUUCAUGGCGUGGUACACCCUAGUCUCCGGCGGGACGUUUAAUUUUAAAGCGGAGGCAAAGCGCUACUGCCAAAAUGACACAGAGAUUCUCAUGAAAGCGUGCUUUGCAUUUAGAGAGUGUUUUGUGGACGAGACGGCUCUAGACCCCUUCAAGCGAGCAACCAUCGCCUCCGCGUGUAUGUUUGUUUUCAGAACAUGUUUUCUUAAAGAAAACACUCUCGGCAUUCCCUGUCCGUACGACUUCAAGUAUAGCUGCAAGCGCUUCUCAAACGACUGUGUGCAGUGGUUAGAAUGGGUGAUGUUCAGAGACGGAGUGUUUAUCCAGCAUGCUCUAAACGGAGGUGAACAGAGCUUUGGACGCUUGCGGGUGGACAGCUAUUUUGAGUCAGGCGGGGUGAAGGUCGCGUAUGAGUUUCUGGGCUGCUUCUACCACGGCUGCUUGGAGUGUUUCACAGGCAGCCGCGUUCACGCCUUAAUGGGGAAAACUUUUGAAAGAAUGCACGUUGAGACGCAGGAGAGAUUGACAGAGUUGAGGUCAGAGUACGGGCUCCGUGUGAUUACCAUGAAGGAGCACAACUGGGAUCUGCUGAAAAAGUCGCACCAGGAUGUGAAAGCGUUCCUAAAAGCAUACAAGGCCCCUGAGCCUCUAGCCCCACGCGAUGCUCUGUACAGGGGGCGCACAUGCCCCGUGUCGUUGAGAUACUUGGCGGGAGAAGAUGAGGUUGUGAGAUACGUUGAUUUUACAUCCCUGUAUCCUUACAUCAACUACACGUGUCCUUAUCCUCUGGGACACCCGGAGAUCAUAUUCAGAGAUUUCCAGCCUCUGGAAUCUUAUUUCGGGCUCAUUAAGGCGACCUUGUAUCCUCCCCGCGGCCUGUUUUUCCCUUCGCUUCCUUACAGAUCCGGCAAAGGGCGCCUAGUGUUUACUCUAUGCAGAAGUUGUGCUGAGCUGAACCGUCAGGACGGCCCCUGUGACCACAGCGACGCGAAGCGUGCUCUCACAGGAGUCUGGCCCUCCCCCGAGAUUCUGAAAGCGCUGGAGGUCAUAGAAGUGUGGCAUUUCAAAGAGCAGAGUACCUCUCUCUUUAAAGAAUACAUCUCAACCUUUUCUCAAGGGGAAGCAGGAAGCCAGCGGCUAUCCCGCAGAUGCUACGGAUGCGGAGAGCAGGCAAAAAUACGUCGAUGA